rnacentral:rRNA from 1 species
UUGGAGGGCAAGUCUGGUGCCAGUAGCCGCGGUAAUUCCAGCUCCAAUAGCGUAUAUUAAAGUUGUUGCAGUUAAAAAGCUCGUAGUUGAAUUUCGGGGUCAGUAGGUUGGUCAUGCCACUGGUAUGUACUGGUCUCACUGAUUCCUCCUUCCUGAUGAACUGUAAUGCCAUUAAUUUGGUGUUGCAGGGAAUCUGGACUGUUACUUUGAAAAAAUUAGAGUGUUUAAAGCAGGCUAACGUCUGAAUACAUUAGUAUGGAAUAAUGAAAUAGGACGUUCGAUCCUAUUUUGUUGGUUUCUAGGAUUGACAUAAUGAUUAAUAGGGAUAGUUGGGGGCAUUAGUAUUCAAUUGUUAGAGGUGAAAUUCUUGGAUUUAUUGAAGAUUAACUACUGCGAAAGCAUUUGCCAAGGAUGUUUUCAUUAAUUAAGAACGAAAGUUAGGGGAUCGAAGACGAUCAGAUACCGUCGUAGUCUUAACCAUAAAUUAUGCCGACUAGGGAUCGGAUGAUGUUAAUUUUUUAAUGACUCAUUCGGCGCCUUACGGGAAAC